GGUUAAGCGACUAAGCGUACACGGUGGAUGCCCUGGCAGUCAGAGGCGAUGAAGGACGUGCUAAUCUGCGAUAAGCGUCGGUGAGGUGAUAUGAACCGUUAUAACCGGCGAUUUCCGAAUGGGGAAACCCAGUGUGUUUCGACACACUAUCAUUAACUGAAUCCAUAGGUUAAUGAGGCGAACCGGGGGAACUGAAACAUCUAAGUACCCCGAGGAAAAGAAAUCAACCGAGAUUCCCCCAGUAGCGGCGAGCGAACGGGGAGGAGCCCAGAGCCUGAAUCAGUGUGUGUGUUAGUGGAAGCGUCUGGAAAGGCGUGCGAUACAGGGUGACAGCCCCGUACACAAAAAUGCACAUAUUGUGAGCUCGAUGAGUAGGGCGGGACACGUGGUAUCCUGUCUGAAUAUGGGGGGACCAUCCUCCAAGGCUAAAUACUCCUGACUGACCGAUAGUGAACCAGUACCGUGAGGGAAAGGCGAAAAGAACCCCGGCGAGGGGAGUGAAAAAGAACCUGAAACCGUGUACGUACAAGCAGUGGGAGCCUCUUAAUGGGGUGACUGCGUACCUUUUGUAUAAUGGGUCAGCGACUUAUAUUCUGUAGCAAGGUUAACCGAAUAGGGGAGCCGAAGGGAAACCGAGUCUUAACUGGGCGUUAAGUUGCAGGGUAUAGACCCGAAACCCGGUGAUCUAGCCAUGGGCAGGUUGAAGGUUGGGUAACACUAACUGGAGGACCGAACCGACUAAUGUUGAAAAAUUAGCGGAUGACUUGUGGCUGGGGGUGAAAGGCCAAUCAAACCGGGAGAUAGCUGGUUCUCCCCGAAAGCUAUUUAGGUAGCGCCUCGUGAAUUCAUCUCCGGGGGUAGAGCACUGUUUCGGCAAGGGGGUCAUCCCGACUUACCAACCCGAUGCAAACUGCGAAUACCGGAGAAUGUUAUCACGGGAGACACACGGCGGGUGCUAACGUCCGUCGUGAAGAGGGAAACAACCCAGACCGCCAGCUAAGGUCCCAAAGUCAUGGUUAAGUGGGAAACGAUGUGGGAAGGCCCAGACAGCCAGGAUGUUGGCUUAGAAGCAGCCAUCAUUUAAAGAAAGCGUAAUAGCUCACUGGUCGAGUCGGCCUGCGCGGAAGAUGUAACGGGGCUAAACCAUGCACCGAAGCUGCGGCAGCGACACUAUGUGUUGUUGGGUAGGGGAGCGUUCUGUAAGCCUGUGAAGGUGGCCUGUGAGGGUUGCUGGAGGUAUCAGAAGUGCGAAUGCUGACAUAAGUAACGAUAAAGCGGGUGAAAAGCCCGCUCGCCGGAAGACCAAGGGUUCCUGUCCAACGUUAAUCGGGGCAGGGUGAGUCGACCCCUAAGGCGAGGCCGAAAGGCGUAGUCGAUGGGAAACAGGUUAAUAUUCCUGUACUUGGUGUUACUGCGAAGGGGGGACGGAGAAGGCUAUGUUGGCCGGGCGACGGUUGUCCCGGUUUAAGCGUGUAGGCUGGUUUUCCAGGCAAAUCCGGAAAACCAAGGCUGAGGCGUGAUGACGAGGCACUACGGUGCUGAAG
rnacentral:rRNA from 1 species